ACGCUCGACACCUACGGGGGCAGCAGUGGGGAAUAUUGGGCAAUGGGCGAAAGCCUGACCCAGCAACGCCGCGUGAGGGAAGAAGGUUUUCGGAUUGUAAACCUCUGUCCUCAGGGACGAAGGACGUGACGGUACCUGAGGAGGAAGCCCCGGCUAACUACGUGCUAGCAGCCGCGGUAAUCUGAGCGGGCUGGCAAGGC
rnacentral:rRNA from 1 species